UAAAAGGUUUUAUUCAAAACCAAAAACUGAGUUUAAAGUUGUAAUU
rfam:Sorghum bicolor cultivar BTx623 chromosome 6, whole genome shotgun sequence.